GAUCCUGGCUCAGGACGAACGCUGGCGGCGCGCCUAACACAUGCAAGUCGAACGAGCGAGAGAGAGCUUGCUUUCUCGAGCGAGUGGCGAACGGGUGAGUAACGCGUGAGGAACCUGCCUCAAAGAGGGGGACAACAGUUGGAAACGACUGCUAAUACCGCAUAAGCGCACGGUUCCGCAUGGAACAGUGUGAAAAACUCCGGUGGUACAGGAUGGAUUCGCGUCUGAUUAG
rnacentral:rRNA from 1 species